rnacentral:rRNA from 1 species
GCUGGCGGCGUGCUUAACACAUGCAAGUCGAACGAUGAACCCUUCGGUGGGGAUUAGUGGCGAACGGGUGAGUAACACGUGGGCAAUCUGCCCUUCACUCUGGGACAAGCCCUGGAAACGGGGUCUAAUACCGGAUACCACUACCGCAGGCAUCUGUGGUGGUUGAAAGCUCCGGCGGUGAAGGAUGAGCCCGCGGCCUAUCAGCUUGUUGGUGAGGUAAUGGCUCACCAAGGCGACGACGGGUAGCCGGCCUGAGAGGGCGACCGGCCACACUGGGACUGAGACACGGCCCAGACUCCUACGGGAGGCAGCAGUGGGGAAUAUUGCACAAUGGGCGAAAGCCUGAUGCAGCGACGCCGCGUGAGGGAUGACGGCCUUCGGGUUGUAAACCUCUUUCAGCAGGGAAGAAGCGAAAGUGACGGUACCUGCAGAAGAAGCGCCGGCUAACUACGUGCCAGCAGCCGCGGUAAUACGUAGGGCGCAAGCGUUGUCCGGAAUUAUUGGGCGUAAAGAGCUCGUAGGCGGCUUGUCACGUCGGGUGUGAAAGCCCGGGGCUUAACCCCGGGUCUGCAUUCGAUACGGGCUAGCUAGAGUGUGGUAGGGGAGAUCGGAAUUCCUGGUGUAGCGGUGAAAUGCGCAGAUAUC